GCUGGCGGCGUGGUUAAGGCAUGCAAGUCGAACGGACUCCUGGAUGGGUAACCUGAAGGGAAGUUAGUGGCGCACGGGUGAGGAAUGCAUGGAUAACGUACCCCAGACACAGGGAUAGCGGCGGAACUUCGGUUCCUUUGCGAAAGUGCCGGUAAUACCUGAUGACCCCGCGGAAUCGCAUGGUUCUGCGGGCAAACGCUCCGGUGGUCUGGGAGCGGUCCAUGUCCUAUCAGCUUGUUGGUGGGGUAACGGCCCACCAAGGCGGCGACGGGUAGCGGGCGUGAGAGCGCGUCCCGCCACAUCGGAACUGAGACACGGUCCGGACACCUACGGGUGGCUGCAGCAACGAAUAUUCCCCAAUGGACGCAAGUCUGAGGGAGCGACGCCGCGUGCAGGAAGAAGUCCCUCGGGAUGUAAACUGCUGUCAGGGGUUAUGAAGAUCUGACCA
rnacentral:rRNA from 1 species